AAUGUGUGACGCCGUUGACUUUUUUUCAACGUUUGACUAUUCGUCUUAUCCAAAAAAUUUAUGUAAUUAUCAUUUUUUUUAAUGUGACUUGAUUCAUCAUCAAAUGUUUUUUAAGCAUGACAUAAAUAUUUUUAUAUUUACACAAUUUUUUUUAAUAAAACGAAUAGUCAAACGUUGUUCAAAAAAUUAACGGCAUCAUACAUU
rfam:Oryza nivara chromosome 6, whole genome shotgun sequence.